UGACAAUGACCCUAAGCACAAUGUCAAGUUGACACUCCAGUGGUUACAGCAGGAAAUGGUGAAGAUUCUGGAGUGGCCAUUACAGUCUCCUGACCUUAAUACCAUCAAGCCACUCUGGGUAGAUCUCAAGCGUGCUUUUAAUGCAAGACGACCAAAGACUUUGCAUGAGCUUGAGGCAUUUUGCGAAGACUAAUGGGUAGCCAUAUCACCUGCAAGAAUUACAGGG